AACUUAAUCACUCCAUAUCAUUAUCUUCCCACCAUUUUAUUCCAUAAUCACAUUGUUUUGUAAGUUUUCCCUCUAAAUUUUUCUGAUUUUUGUAAUUUUUCAAGAAUAAUUUUAUUUUCAUCCCGACCCGACCAUGGUACAAACUCUCUAAACCAUAGUCAGUAAACACGCUUUACAACGUAACCACCACCAUAUUUAUCACUCAGUACAAUAGUGUAUCACUCUUCUCACCAAUGUAGUUUAUCGAUACUUGUCGUUUUUGUGUGUUAUUUGUUUAUCUAAUAUAUGUCUCUUGAUAAAGACGCGGGUUGCGUCGAAAAUUUGAGUUUUAAAUAACCAACAGUGUCGUGGCCUUUUCAGUGCUUUUAUAUAUAUAUAUAUAUAUAUAUAUAUAUAUAUGGUAAACAAUCUGUAUAUAUCAUAAUAUAUGCAUAUAUAGAUCUAUCUGUAUUUCAUUUUUUAUUUGGGGGGGGUGUGUGUGUUAAUAUUGAUAUACACUGUAUGUCAAAAGAUGUCCCUGCAGAGGGAAAUUAUUGAAGAUCAUCAUAUUAUUUUUAUAAACUACAGUGUAGUUAACUUAUUAAUUAAUUAACCAAUCAAUUCAGAGAGCGGGUCUUCACAGUACUUGGCUCUAACAACCGUAAAUUGAGAUCGGGUUCCUGAUAAAAAGCAUCGGGUGUGCACUCCGAGUUCCCGCGCAUAGUCAGCAUGCAGACACCAUGUUUAUGAUGUUGUGACCUACCGUAAACAUUAUGAACAGACAAAGAAUAGCCUUCAACAGGGACCCGAGGGAGUUUGUGGUGUUAUCCUGAAGAGACUCCCAACCAUUAAAAUAUAAUUCAUGAUAGAUACAGAAUUUAUAUGGUGUGACCACUGACCAGACUGGUUUUAAUAUGCCAUUCUGAGAAUUACACUAUGCAGACCUGGAUCAAUGUUUAUAUAGUUCCAAAAUGAGUUUACUCUGAAUGACACUUCAGUUCAUGCACAUUUUAGAAUGUACGUCAUCAAUGUUCUCCCAAAGGAAAGUGAGCAAAAACUUAUCCAGAGAAUCAACAGCACAUUUUUGUGAAACUUUUUAAAAUGUGCAGGAGAAAUAGGAUUACGAAGAAGAGAAGCUUUGUCAUAAUUUUUUAUAGUAUGAAUUAAAUGCAAUUUCUCAUAUA